rnacentral:lncRNA from 1 species
GUCUGAGGCAUCACAAUAGGGGUCUCUACAGUGGGAAACCAGGGGGCAGGGCUGAGUGAGGGGAGCAGACUGAGUCUUCUUGCUCUGAAAGCCCUGAGGCUAAAGACCAGGGACAGAAAUGCAGAGGUGAAGAAAUGUGGAAGUCUCUUCUGUAUCCUGAUAUGGAUUGUGCAGCUUUACAAGGCACCCUGGGGCAUGAUGAAGUGGCUGUGAAAUGAAUUAGCUGUAGCCCUGCAGCAUGCCGUGAGAGACUCUACAAGCCAGAUGUUUUGCCAGCAAAGAGGGAUCUUAGGAUUUUGGACUCAGUCAGAGCAGCUACAAGAGUCACAGUUGGAAAAUCUCACCAGGUCAAUCUGUUGCAAUGCCGCCUUGCUAUUACCAUGCUGCAGUUGCUGAGGUCUCCAUCUGCAGCACGUGUUGGUGUUGGACCACUCUGGUAUCUGCAUUUUGUACCUCCAAUGAGUCAGAACCUGUGUGCAGGGAUG